rnacentral:rRNA from 1 species
ACAGUGUAUGGUGGGUAGUUUGACUGGGGCGGUCUCCUACCCAAAGAGUAACGGAGGAGCACGAAGGUGCGCUAAUCAUGGUCGGAAAUCAUGAGGUUAGUGUAAAGGCAAAAGCGCGCUUGACUGCGAGACAAACAAGUCGAGCAGGUACGAAAGUAGGUCUUAGUGAUCCGGUGGUUCUGUAUGGAAGGGCCAUCGCUCAACGGAUAAAAGGUACUCCGCGGAUAACAGGCUGAUACCGCCCAAGAGUUCAUAUCGACGGCGGUGUUUUGGCACCUCGAUGUCGGCUCAUCACAUCCUGGGGCUGAAGCCGGUCCCAAGGGUAUGGCUGUUCGCCAUUUAAAGUGGUACGCGAGCUGGGUUUAGAACGUCGUGAGACAGUUCGGUCCCUAUCUGCCGUGGGCGUUGGAAAUUUGAGAAGAGUUGCUCCUAGUACGAGAGGACCGGAGUGAACGAACCCCUGGUGUUCGGGUUGUGUCGCCAGACGCAUUGCCCGGUAGCUAUGUUCGGACGGGAU